rnacentral:lncRNA from 1 species
AACUAGAGGCUCUAAAGAGCCUGUGUCACUCACCUUGGUCUUGUGCAUAUUAAACAAUGGACAGGGAUAAAUUCAUGACAUAAUUGUGUUUUGGUGAUAGUGAUGUGUUUGUAGAUCUUACUUUACUGAGCAUUCUUGUUGCUACAAUUAUCAGCUAUCAAAUGAAUGUCCAGUAAUUCAGGAGCAGUAACCUAACAACGGGUUGUCCGAUCCAUGUGAAAAUAUCAGGGCAGAUAGAUCUUGACCUGAUAAACAAUUAAAUCCUGUCAGAUUUUCUCUUAAUG